AUUGUACUCCCUCCGUUCCAAAUUACUUGUCUCAAAAGUGGAUAAAAAUGAAUGUAUCUAUAACUAAAAUACAUCUAGAUACAUCCAUUUUUGUGAUAAGUAAUUCCGAACGGAGGGAGUAGCUG
rfam:Triticum aestivum genome assembly, contig: Triticum_aestivum_CS42_TGACv1_scaffold_227012_3B